AGUUUGAUCCCCGGCUCAAUUGAACGCUGGCGGGAUGCCUUACACAUGCAAGUCGAACAGCAGCAUGAUCUAGCUAGUUAGAUUGAUGGUUAGUGGCGAACGGGUGAGUAAUACAUCUCAACGCGCCCUGUAGUGGGGGAUAAUCUCCCGAAAGAUUAGCUAAUACCGCCUACCACCUGAGGGUGAAAGUGGGGGACCGCAAGGCCUCCUGCUAUAGGAGCUGCCGAUGUCUGAUUAGAUCCUUGGUGGGGUAAAGGCCCACCAAGGCUACGAUUUUCCCCUGGUCUGAUAGGACGAUCAAUCUCCUUGGGAUUGAAACUCCGCCCAUACUCCUACGGUAGGUUGCAGUGGGGAAUUUUGGACAAUGGGGGCAACUCUUACCCAACAAUGCCACGUGUGUGAUGAAGGCCUUCCGGUUGUAAAGCA
rnacentral:rRNA from 1 species